rnacentral:rRNA from 1 species
UUUGUGGGGUGCUCGAGUGGCGAACGGGUGAGUAACACGUGAGUAACCUGCCCUUGACUUUGGGAUAACUUCAGGAAACUGGGGCUAAUACCGGAUAGGAGCUCCUGCUGCAUGGUGGGGGUCGGAAAGUUUCGGCGGUUGGGGAUGGACUCGCGGCUUAUCAGCUUGUUGGUGGGGUAGUGGCUUACCAAGGCUUUGACGGGUAGCCGGCCUGAGAGGGUGACCGGCCACAUUGGGACUGAGAUACGGCCCAGACUCCUACGGGAGGCAGCAGUGGGGAAUAUUGCACAAUGGGCGGAAGCCUGAUGCAGC